rnacentral:rRNA from 1 species
CAGUCGCCGCGGGAAUACAGAGGGUGCGAGCGUUAAUCGGAUUUACUGGGCGUAAAGCGCACGCAGGCGGUUUGUUAAGUCAGAUGUGAAAUCCCCGAGCUUAACUUGGGAACUGCAUUUGAAACUGGCAAGCUAGAGUCUUGUAGAGGGGGGUAGAAUUCCAGGUGUAGCGGUGAAAUGCGUAGAGAUCUGGAGGAAUACCGGUGGCGAAGGCGGCCCCCUGGACAAAGACUGACGCUCAGGUGCGAAAGCGUGGGGAGCAAACAGGAUUAGAUACCCCUGUAGUCCCUGUCUCUUAUAC